rnacentral:rRNA from 1 species
GACGAACGCUGGCGGCGUGCCUAACACAUGCAAGUCGAACGGAGUAAAGCCCUUCGGGACUUUACUUAGUGGCGAACGGGUGAGUAACGCGUGAGGAACCUGCCUUUCAGUGGGGGACAACAGUUGGAAACGACUGCUAAUACCGCAUGACGCUUCUUGGGGGCAUCCCUGGGAAGUCAAAGAUUUAUUGCUGAAAGAUGGCCUCGCGUCUGAUUAGCUAGUUGGCGGGGUAACGGCCCACCAAGGCGACGAUCAGUAGCCGGUCUGAGAGGAUGAACGGCCACAUUGGGACUGAGAUACGGCCCAGACUCCUACGGGAGGCAGCAGUGGGGAAUAUUGGGCAAUGGGGGAAACCCUGACCCAGCAACGCCGCGUGAAGGAAGAAGGCCUUCGGGUUGUAAACUUCUUUUAGCAGGGACGAAGGACGUGACGGUACCUGCAGAAAAAGCAACGGCUAACUACGUGCCAGCCGCCGCGGUAA